UACAGAGGGUGCGAGCGUUAAUCGGAAUUACUGGGCGUAAAGCGCGCGUAGGCGGCUUUGCAAGUCGGGUGUGAAAUCCCCAGGCUUAACCUGGGAACUGCAUUCGAGACUGCAUUGCUAGAGUAUGGGAGAGGGGAGUGGAAUUUCCGGUGUAGCGGUGAAAUGCGUAGAUAUCGUAAGGAAGACCAGUGGCGAAGGCGGGUCUCUGGACAGUUCCUGACGCUGAGGCACGAAGGUCAGGGGAGCAAACGGG
rnacentral:rRNA from 1 species